AUAUACUUGCUGUGGCCUUGCCAGGUAAUUUGGGUUUAAUUUGAAGAGUUACAUCAAUUUCACUUUCUCUGUGGGUUCUUUGAAUCUUUGGUUUCUUUUAAUUAGUUAACGCUAACAUAUAGUUACUAUUCUAUGUUUCUGCAGUUAAUAUUGAGCAAUUGGGUUGCUGGUUUUAGUUUGUUUUAGGAUAUGUUUACGCUUGUUGUUUGUAAUAUUUAUGCAAUAUCUGCAUCAGUUACUACAUUUGCGAUAUUAUCUGUCAAUCCAGCUGAAUUGCAUUCAUUCCUUCUGUAAGAUUUAAAUCAUGUCAGCAUAUGCUGAAUGGUAGUAAGUAAUGGCAUUGCUUGUUCCCAGUUUGAUUCGGUUAAUGUUGUCAAAUAGAAGCUAUAAGUGACAGGUUCAUGGAAAGCAUAACUGAGUUUUUACUUUGCAAAUUGCAUUGCAGCCUGUGCUUCUAAGUUUCCA
rnacentral:misc_RNA from 1 species